rnacentral:rRNA from 1 species
CAAUAGCGUAUACUAACGUUGUUGCAGUUAAAAGCUCGUAGUUGGAUUUCUGUGUUGGUGAGGCGGCCGGCCAUUCGUGGUUGUAGCUAGUUAUCACCGGCGCAUCUUGUCACAAGCCACGCUGGCCUUAACUGGUUGGCGUUGGGGACUGACUCGUUUACUUUGAGAAAAUUAGAGUGUUCAAAGCAGGCUUCGCCUUGAAUAUGUUAGCAUGGAAUAAUGACAUAGGACUUUGGUUCUAUUUGUUGGUUGUUCGAGAACUAGAGUAAUGAUUGAUAGGGACGGUUGGGGGCGAUACGUAUUCCGGGCGGAGAGGUGAAUACUUGGACCCCGGAACGACGAACCGACCUGCGAAAGACGUUGUCCUAGGACGUUCUUCUUUAAUUACAAGAACGAAAGUUAGGGGGUAGGUCGAAGACGAUCAGA